ACACCUCAACUCUUCAUGGUCUUCUGUGAUGAGCUUGGACUUUGGGGGUUUUGCCGGCCCACGGUCGGCUCCUCUAAAAUGAAUCAGCUUGCCGGUGUUUGGUGGGCAUCACGGGUGUGAUAACUAUCUACGCUUGUGGUUUUCCACCAGGUAACCUUCAGCAGUGGAGGUUCGCUGGAGCUCACAGAUGUCUCUCCUCGGUGAGGAUGGGCCCUUUGAAU
rnacentral:misc_RNA from 1 species